rnacentral:rRNA from 1 species
CUGAAUCAGUGUGUGUGUUAGUGGAAGCGUCUGGAAAGGCGCGCGAUACAGGGUGACAGCCCCGUACACAAAAAUGCACAUGCUGUGAGCUCGAUGAGUAGGGCGGGACACGUGGUAUCCUGUCUGAAUAUGGGGGGACCAUCCUCCAAGGCUAAAUACUCCUGACUGACCGAUAGUGAACCAGUACCGUGAGGGAAAGGCGAAAAGAACCCCGGCGAGGGGAGUGAAAAAGAACCUGAAACCGUGUACGUACAAGCAGUGGGAGCACAGAGCAAUCUGUGUGACUGCGUACCUUUUGUAUAAUGGGUCAGCGACUUAUAUUCUGUAGCAAGGUUAACCGAAUAGGGGAGCCGAAGGGAAACCGAGUCUUAACUGGGCGUUAAGUUGCAGGGUAUAGACCCGAAACCCGGUGAUCUAGCCAUGGGCAGGUUGAAGGUUGGGUAACACUAACUGGAGGACCGAACCGACUAAUGUUGAAAAAUUAGCGGAUGACUUGUGGCUGGGGGUGAAAGGCCAAUCAAACCGGGAGAUAGCUGGUUCUCCCCGAAAGCUAUUUAGGUAGCGCCUCGUGAAUUCAUCUCCGGGGGUAGAGCACUGUUUCGGCAAGGGGGUCAUCCCGACUUACCAACCCGAUGCAAACUGCGAAUACCGGAGAAUGUUAUCACGGGAGACACACGGCGGGUGCUAACGUCCGUCGUGAAGAGGGAAACAACCCAGACCGCCAGCUAAGGUCCCAAAGUCAUGGUUAAGUGGGAAACGAUGUGGGAAGGCCCAGACAGCCAGGAUGUUGGCUUAGAAGCAGCCAUCAUUUAAAGAAAGCGUAAUAGCUCACUGGUCGAGUCGGCCUGCGCGGAAGAUGUAACGGGGCUAAACCAUGCAC